rnacentral:rRNA from 1 species
UACGAAGGGUGCAAGCGUUAUUCGGAAUUACUGGGCGUAAAGGGUGCGUAGGCGGUUAUUUAAGUCUGCCGUGAAAUCCCCGGGCUCAACCUGGGAAUGGCGGUGGAUACUGGAUAGCUAGAGUGUGUCAGAGGAUGGUGGAAUUCCCGGUGUAGCGGUGAAAUGCGUAGAGAUCGGGAGGAACAUCAGUGGCGAAGGCGGCCAUCUGGGACAACACUGACGCUGAAGCACGAAAGCGUGGGGAGCAAACAGG